AGAAUAUUGUUGUUGACCGUACGAUCUUUGUGCCGGAGAGGAUGCCGUCGCAAGGGGAUCUGGACCGUCAGAUCGAGCACCUCAUGGAGUGCAAGUCGUUGCCGGAGGCUGAGGUCAAGGCGCUAUGUGAUCAAGCCAGGGCGAUUCUUGUCGAGGAGUGGAACGUGCAGCCGGUGAAAUGUCCCGUAACCGUUUGCGGCGAUAUUCACGGGCAGUUCUACGAU
rnacentral:misc_RNA from 1 species